UGGGGAAUAUUGGACAAUGGACCAAGAGUCUGAUCCAGCAAUUCUGUGUGCACGAUGAAGUUUUUCGGAAUGUAAAGUGCUUUCAGUUGGGAAGAAAGAAAUGACGGUACCAACAGAAGAAGUGACGGCUAAAUACGUGCCAGCAGCCGCGGUAAUACGUAUGUCACAAGCGUUAUCCGGAUUUAUUGGGCGUAAAGCGCGUCUAGGUGGUUAUGUAAGUCUGAUGUGAAAAUGCAGGGCUCAACUCUGUAUUGCGUUGGAAACUGUAUAACUAGAGUACUGGAGAGGUAAGCGGAACUACAAGUGUAGAGGUGAAAUUCGUAGAUAUUUGUAGGAAUGCCGAUGGGGAAGCCAGCUUACUGGACAGAUACUGACGCUGAAGCGCGAAAGCGUGGGUAGCAAACAGGAUUAGAUACCCUGGUAGUCCAUGCCGUAAACGAUGAUUACUAGGUGUUGGGGGUCGAACCUCAGCGCCCAAGCAAACGCGAUAAGUAAUCCGCCUGGGGAGUACGUACGCAAGUAU
rnacentral:rRNA from 1 species